rnacentral:rRNA from 1 species
GACGAACGCUGGCGGCGUGCUUAAUACAUGCAAGUCGAGCGGGGAUUAUCAUGAAGCUUGCGAUUGAUAAUUCUAGCGGCGGACGGGUGAGUAACGCGUGGGUAAUCUGCCUUCUAGUUUGGGAUAACAGUUCGAAAGGACUGCUAAAACCGGAUAUGCUCACACCCUAGCAUUAGGGGAGUGAGGAAAGGAAACGCUAGAAGAUGAACCCGCGUCCCAUUAGCUAGUUGGUGAGGUAACGGCUCACCAAGGCGACGAUGGGUAGCCGACCUGAGAGGGUGACCGGCCACACUGGGACUGAGACACGGCCCAGACUCCUUACGGGAGGCUG